GGAAUAUUGGACAAUGGGCGAAAGCCUGAUCCAGCCAUGCCGCGUGAGUGAUGAAGGCCCUAGGGUUGUAAAGCUCUUUCACCGAUGAAGAUAAUGACGGUAGUCGGAGAAGAAGCCCCGGCUAACUUCGUGCCAGCAGCCGCGGUAAUACGAAGGGGGCUAGCGUUGUUCGGAAUUACUGGGCGUAAAGCGCACGUAGGCGGAUAUUUAAGUUAGGGGUGAAAUCCCAGGGCUCAACCCUGGAACUGCCUCUAAUACUGGAUAUCUAGAGUCCGAGAGAGGUGAGUGGAAUUCCGAGUGUAGAGGUGAAAUUCGUAGAUAUUCGGAGGAACACCAGUGGCGAAGGCGGCUCACUGGCUCGGUACUGACGCUGAGGUGCGAAAGCGUGGGGAGCAA
rnacentral:rRNA from 1 species